rnacentral:rRNA from 1 species
UACGGAGGGUGCAAGCGUUAUCCGGAUUCACUGGGUUUAAAAGGUGCGUAGGUGGGCAGUUAAGUCAGUGGUGAAAUCUCCGGGCUCAACCCGGAAACUGCCAUUGAUACUAUCUGUCUUGAAUAUCGUGGAGGUAAGCGGAAUAUGUCAUGUAGCGGUGAAAUGCUUAGAUAUGACAUAGAACACCAAUUGCGAAGGCAGCUUACUACCCGAAUAUUGACACUGAGGCACGAAAGCGUGGGGAUCAAACAGG